rnacentral:sRNA from 1 species
ACAACAACACGGUGGUUAUAUACAGGUAUAUCACCAGACAGGACGCUCUGACAGAUGAACACACACCCCGUCCUGAUGUGGAUGCCAUGUCCAACUCAACACCAGCCGUAUAAUGGAGAUAACUUGGAUAUUGACAGAUGGGCCAAUUUUACCUGACCUUGGGGGGAGAAAAUAGAACACCUUCCUUGAAAUCCUUACAGAGGAAGACAGAAAACAGACAUUGGAUACGAAGACCACUCACUGCAAUAUGACGUCAUUAUCUUCAAGUACGCACUGACCAGAGUCACUCAUGUCACCUAUUACAAUUGGUCUUUAUCUGUCAUCGUGUGGUGUGUGUCGUCCGUCUUUCCUUUACAAUUUUACAUGUUGAACUUCUUCUUGAAAACUACACGGCCAAUUGUUACCAUAUUUAAUGUGAAACAUUGCUACAAUAAGAAGAAUUUAGAUUUAAUAUAACUUGAUUAUUUGUGGAGUGACCGAUACCUGGACUUGUUUUAAAUAACGCGCCAUUAGUUUAACCUGUGUUCUGUGUACAUGAACUAUACAGUAAUUAUUUAUUAUUCUGUCUUAUCAUUUUAUGUCACAGUAUGUUUUCUGUUUAAAAUAGUAAUUUGUCAUUUUACAUUGAUAUCAAUUUUUUGAACCGAGUUUUCUAAGGAGAAAUCCAGCUAUUGAAAUGGUGAAAGGGGCACGCCGGCGGGCAGUUGCGAGAAGGGUACCCCAAUUGUACUGCAAAUCAGUUGUACAUAUAUAAGAGAUGUGCAUAAAACUUGGAUAUUUUGUUGUUGUAAAUUUAUAUAAAAAAUACCAGCUGUUGAACUUGGUCAAUUUUACGCAGAAUAUUGCAUAUAGGGUACCCCCAUUGUACGGAUAACUCUUCAUAACUCUUCAUACAGUUUUUAAGAUAGGUAGUUGUUGUCUUGUAGAUCAAUUGUACAUAUAUCAGAGAUGUGCAUAUAACUUGGAUUUAUAUUUUGAUUAUUUAUGUGUACAUAAACUCUACAGUAAUUAGUUGUUAUACUCCCUUACAUGGCUUAUCAAUUAUAUAUUAGUAUGAGUUUAGUAAAUUCUCAUCAGACAGUAUGUGUUUAAUUGGUUUGAAUGCUUUUAUAAUACCCUGUAAUUUAGUGAUGGGAAAAAGAUGUUACUUAACAUUGGGGCUUAUAUCUGAGGAUUUUUUAUUUUUCCUAUUUGCAAAGAAUAACUUUUGUUUAUUGAUUAAACAUCAUAUUCAAAGGGGAGUAACUCAAAUUUGAGUUCUUCAAUUACAAACGAAUAAAGAGUUAUUCCCCUUUUUGUAAUAUUUUUUAGAUAAAGUUUCAUCUUAAAACUGGUUAUUGACCCCUGACGUGUUUUUUUCUGAAAGUUAAUUGAAUAUCAGUAAAUAUAAUUAUAAGAUUUUAAAAAAUGCCCUUAAUGAGAAUAUUAUUGGUGGAUUUAGCACAUUUCUUUACAUUGAUCAUGUAAAUAGAAAACUCAUGUUUAUGUAAAUAGUUUUUGAACAAUGUUGUAACUAAGUUAAAGUGUACUGCUUUUUUUUCUUCAAAUUUUUUUUUCUGUCUAUUUACGUUAACCAUGAAUUACAUAAUACUUAUAUACACAUGGUUUUUGGUGAAUUGUAGCAAGCUGUAGAUAAAACUCAAUAAAUGUGAUAUUUUUU